rnacentral:rRNA from 1 species
UACGAAGGGAGCUAGCGUUGUUCGGAAUUACUGGGCGUAAAGCGCACGUAGGCGGACUUUUAAGUCAGGGGUGAAAUCCCGGGGCUCAACCUCGGAACUGCCUUUGAUACUGGAAGUCUCGAGGUCGAGAGAGGUGAGCGGAAUUCCUAGUGUAGAGGUGAAAUUCGUAGAUAUUAGGAAGAACACCGGUGGCGAAGGCGGCUCACUGGCUCGAUACUGACGCUGAGGUGCGAAAGCGUGGGGAGCAAACAGG